rnacentral:rRNA from 1 species
AGAACGAACGCUGGCGGCGUGGAUAAGACAUGCAAGUCGAACGCGACUUAUCGUGAUAGCAAUAUCGUGGUAAGUUGAGUGGCGAAAGGGUGCGUAACACGUGGGAAUUUACCAAGAAGUGGGGAAUAGCUCGACGAAAGUCGAAUUAAUACCGCAUGUGAUCGAAAGAUCAAAGUCGGGGACCGCAAGGCCUGACGCUUUUUGAGAAGCCCGCGGCCCCAUCAGCUAGUUGGCGAGGUAAAAGCUCACCAAGGCUAUGACGGGUAGCUGGUCUGAGAGGACGACCAGCCACACUGGAACUGAGACACGGUCCAGACACCUACGGGUGGCAGCAGUCGAGAAUUUUUUCACAAUGGACGAAAGUCUGAUGGAGCGACGCCGCGUGGAGGAUGAAGGUUUUCGGAUUGUAAACUCCUGUCACUGCAGAACAAGGUACGUUAUGAAUAGUAGACGUAUUCGAUGGUAUGCGGAGGAGGAAGGGACGGCGUAACUCGUGUGCCGA